rnacentral:rRNA from 1 species
AUUGAACGCUGGCGGCAGGCCUAACACAUGCAAGUCGAGCGGAUGAGUGGAGCUUGCUCCAUGAUUCAGCGGCGGACGGGUGAGUAAUGCCUAGGAAUCUGCCUGGUAGUGGGGGACAACGUUUCGAAAGGAACGCUAAUACCGCAUACGUCCUACGGGAGAAAGUGGGGGAUCUUCGGACCUCACGCUAUCAGAUGAGCCUAGGUCGGAUUAGCUAGUUGGUGAGGUAAAGGCUCACCAAGGCGACGAUCCGUAACUGGUCUGAGAGGAUGAUCAGUCACACUGGAACUGAGACACGGCCCAGACUCCUACGGGAGGCAGCAGUGGGGAAUAUUGGACAAUGGGCGAAAGCCUGAUCCAGCCAUGCCGCGUGUGUGAAGAAGGUCUUCGGAUUGUAAAGCACUUUAAGUUGGGAGGAAGGGCAGUAAGUUAAUACCUUGCUGUUUUGACGUUACCAACAGAAUAAGCACCGGCUAACUUCGUGCCAGCCGCCGCGGUAAAAC